rnacentral:rRNA from 1 species
GAUGAACGCUGGCGGCGUGCCUAAUACAUGCAAGUCGAGCGAACGGACGAGAAGCUUGCUUCUCUGAUGUUAGCGGCGGACGGGUGAGUAACACGUGGAUAACCUACCUAUAAGACUGGGAUAACUUCGGGAAACCGGAGCUAAUACCGGAUGAUAUUUUGAACCGCAUGGUUCAAAAGUGAAAGACGGUCUUGCUGUCACUUAUAGAUGGAUCCGCGCUGCAUUAGCUAGUUGGUAAGGUAACGGCUUACCAAGGCAACGAUGCAUAGCCGACCUGAGAGGGUGAUCGGCCACACUGGAACUGAGACACGGUCCAGACUCCUACGGGAGGCAGCAGUAGGGAAUCUUCCGCAAGGGGCGAAAGCCUGACGGAGCAACGCCGCGUGAGUGAUGAAGGUCUUCGGAUCGUAAAACUCUGUGAUUAGGGAAGAACAUAUGUGUAAGUAACUGUGCACAUCUUGACGGUACCUAAUCAGAAAGCCACGGCUAACUACGUG